AGUUUGUCUCCACGAGAAUCAAUAGCAACACAGCAGCCACCCAACAGUUUGAACAUAUCCAAGGUCAAGCACGAGAUUAAUAAUCAAUCAAGGAGCUACUGUACCGCAAGAGUUGCUGUCAGGUUGAGCAGUGGCUGAUGAAGAUGAAGUGAAGAGCGGAGCUUUUGUCAAAAGUUAAAUGAAUGAACUCUUGGAUACAUGUCUUCAUACAUGUAAUCA